rnacentral:tRNA from 1 species
GCUAGUGUGGCCGAGCGGUCUAUGGUGCUAGAUUAAGGCUCCAGUCUCUUCGGGGGCGUGGUUUCGAUUCCCACCACUGCCA